CCUACGGGUGGCAGCAGUGGGGAAUAUUGGGCAAUGGGCGCAAGCCUGACCCAGCAACGCCGCGUGAAGGAAGAAUGCCUUCGGGUUGUAAACUUCUUUUGUUAGGGACGAAGCAAGUGACGGUACUUGAUGAAUAAGUCACGGUUAACUACGUGCCAGCAGCCGCGGUAAUACGGAGGUGGCAAGCGUUAUCCGGAUUUAGCGGGUGUAAAGGGUGUGUAGGCGGGAAUGCAAGUCAGAUGUGAAAUCUAUGGGCUCAACCCAUAGACUGCAUUUGACACUGGAUUUCUUGAGUGCUGGAGAGGCAGGCGGAAUUCCGGGUGUAGCGGUGAAAUGCGUAGAUAUACGGAGGAACACCAGUGGCGAAGGCAGAUUGCUAAACAGUAACUGACGCUGAGGCGCGAAAGCGUGGGGAGCAAACAGGAUUAGAUACCCCAGUAGUC
rnacentral:rRNA from 1 species